AGUGAACGCUGGCGGUAGGCCUAACACAUGCAAGUCGAACGGCAGCACAGUAAGAGCUUGCUCUUACGGGUGGCGAGUGGCGGACGGGUGAGGAAUACAUCGGAAUCUACUUUUUCGUGGGGGAUAACGUAGGGAAACUUACGCUAAUACCGCAUACGGCCUACGGGUGAAAGCAGGGGAUCUUCGGACCUUGCGCGAUUGAAUGAGUCGAUGUCGGAUUAGCUAGUUGGCGGGGUAAAGGCCCACCAAGGCGACGAUCCGUAGCUGGUCUGAGAGGAUGAUCAGCCACACUGGAACUGAGACACGGUCCAGACUACUACGAGAGGCAGCAGUGUGGAAUCUUGGACAAUGGGCGCAAGCUGGCUCCAGCCAUACCGCGUAGGUGAAGAAGGCCUUCGGGUUGUAAAGCCCUUUUGUUGGGAAAGAAGAGCAGCAGGUUAAUACCCCGCUGUUCUGACGGUACCCAAAGAAUAAGCACCGGCUAACUUCGUG
rnacentral:rRNA from 1 species